CUUGAGGUGAAGAAAUCAUGAGAAGAUGAUGGAUCUGUUGAGAUCCCCGGUGAUUCAUGGUGGUGCUGUUAAAUCAAAUGUUGAUUCAACUCAGCAGAAAUGGAGGGGAAACCCCUUGUUCUGAAUGUAGUGAGGAAAGCAGAACAAUUGCUUGUGAAUGUGGUGUUAGAGUAAUUCACUAUCUCUGGUGAAACUAACUUUCUCAAGUAGUAAGAAGGAAGAAUGAUUUUACAACUUUAUAGGAUAAACUGAAUUGUGCACAUCAAGUUUCAAUGUCCUGUUAUUUGUAAACUUUUUGCUGCUGAAGAAAGCUCUGUUCAGGAUUGGAUAUGACAAAGGCAUACAUGCUUGAUACACAAGAGGCAGUGGAGUCAAAAUUCAAAAUAUGGGAAAAUACUGCUCCUUUUGGUUGGGAUGCGCGCGACAUGGGAUUUUGAUGGCCAUAUGAUAUUACUUGCUUUCUCAGAAUCAGUAGAAUUGGGCUCUAUGCACUUUGUGUCGAGGCUUCUGACAUUGGGCACCUAAAGAAGAAAUGCUCUUGUCUGGUCUUAAAGAAAGCAACUGAGGGCGAACAAAGAUAACCUAUCCACUCUCAUGGUAUGCUUAGUUACAAAAUAUGUUCAUGAUAUUUAGGACAUAGGAUAAGUGAGAAUGAGCUCAACUUGUGAAGUUUUUAUCUUUAUCUAUUCCCUUAGAAUUUUUUUGAUACUUCAAAAAUUUGUAUUCUUUUUUGAUAUGAUA